rnacentral:lncRNA from 1 species
CAUUCAUCAGCCUAGUAGUGAAGUUUUUGAGCUUUUCCAUGACCUCUGCCUUCUUUCGUCUGGGGAGACGGUAUAUUUUGGUCCAGCAUCUGAAGCAAAUCAGGUUAGGAAUAAAAUCCUUGUAGCACAUAUUGAUUUUAAGUUAACUAAAUACAUGCAUAGUGACAUUGAUUCGUGCAGUUUUAUGCUUCAAAUGGUUUCCCUUGCCCAACUCUCUAUAAUCCUUCUGAUCACUACUUAAGGAUCAUAAACAAAGAUUUUGAACAGGUAUGUAUAUUUGCAAACCCUGAGUUUAAAUAGUGUUUAUUUGAAAGCUCUGGGAACUUUAGAUGUAUCAUAUACUACAGUAUAAUAAUUUAUGUUUUACUUCUAAUUUCUUUGUCACCAAACAGUAGAAUUAGAGGUUUUUCCUUUCUAAACUUUUGUUGCUAAUUUGGUUUGUUUAUUGUGACAUUUUACAGUUAAAUAUAUACAAAACCUUCUAGAUUAGAAGGAAAAAACAGUUGAAAAACUGAAACAUAAUUGAUUCAUCUAAUUUGUUUUCAGGACACUGAAGAAGGAUUUGGUAAAGUAGUAAUUACUGAAGAAGCAAUUGGUAUCCUUGUAAAUUCUUAUAAGGCGUCAGAAAUUAAAAGCCAAGUUCAGAUCGAAGUGACAAAAAUAAGUGAAAGUGUAAGUAUCAUAGUAAAUUACUCAAUUAGACUUGGACUAUAAAAACACAGAAUAUAGCACACUUUUCAAAGCCAACAUCAAGCUCUAUAGGCAAAUUCUGCUAGAGAUCACUUUGAUAGAUGGUUAAGCAUAGAUCAAUACUUGAAAAUCGUUUGAAACUUCAACGAGGAUAAAUGUUGCCUUCUGAAAGUAGAAGUUCCCGCCCUCCUCAUCUUCACGGCUGAGGUGGUGACUUUAUCAAUGUCAGUUUUACAAAAAUAAGUGAAAACAAAUAUGUCUCAAAGCUCAAUUCAUAUUAACUUUUCCUUAUUUUUGUAGAACGGGCACAUAUUAGGUUAUAUCUUAGUAGUAAGAAUGUGGAAGACCAUGAAUUUCUACUUCCAAGGGUCGUCGCUAGAGUUUAGAGUGAAUUUUAAGUAUUAAUCCACCAAAGACCACAUAUCAAGAUGGUCAACCACAGAAACAGUGUGAACUGCAUGAUUUAACUAUCUGUUUCAUGAAAUUGUAUGUGCUAGGAUUUGGGUGCAAUAAGGAAUAGGAGGAUCCAUGCUCCAUUUCAAACUCAGUGCAUGGUUCUUAUAAAAAGAUCUUCUCUGCAAUUGUAUCGUGACAUAAGCAAUUACUGGUUACGUCUUGCUGUCUUUAUUGCUUCGGCUAUAAGCCUGGGCUCUAUCUUCUAUCACGUCGGUACAAGUAAUCCAUCUAUUCAGGUAAUAUACGAUAUGAAUCAUAUGAUAAUGAAGCAUGCUUUAAAAGAGAAAUAAACAUCUUAUAUCACUCGUAAUAUAAAACGUCUUUAGUUGUAAUGAAAUAUAGUUUACUCUCGUGUUUAUGAGGCUAGUUGAACAAGGCCUUACAAAUAUUUCUUUACUAUUUUUAUGUGUAUCAAAGUAAUGAAAUAUAGUUUACUCUCAUGUUUAUGAUGUUUAAAGUCUUUCUCUGUGUUAGUUAAUGAUGUACUAAAUAUGCUAGUAAGACAAUCUCUUAACACAUUAUUCCUUAUUAUUUGAAAUUCAUAUACUUAUAUGGAACCAUAAUUCAGUUGGACUCUGUCAAUUUCAACCAGAAAAAAAUGUGUUACAAAAAAUGUGUUAGAGAAUAUGUUGUUAACACUCUGGUGAUUUAUAAACUUGAACUGUAAUUUUAUCCUCUUACAUGGUAUAUGCUUCAUGGUAUGUUUCAGGUCAGAGGGUCGCUAAUUUCGUUUUUUAUAUCACUCGUGUCUUUCAUGACACUUGUUGGUGGAUUCUCUCCCUUGAUUGAGGAAAUGAAGGUAAAUUUCUUGUCUUUCAUAAAUUGAAGCUUCAGUGCAUUGAACUCUGAGGUUUAUUUUUUAAAAAAAUUGUUUAAUUUUUUUUAUUGAGUCAUAUCAAUUUUUUUGGUACAUGAUUGAGUUAUAUCAAUUUAUGAAGACAAGAAAAAUAAAACUAACUAUGGGCAAUAUUGAUUGAGUUAUAUCAAUUUAUAUAAUUUUGGAUACAAAUGCAUCUGCAAUAUUGAUUUCAUUUCUAACUAAAAAUGUUCGUUCCACCAUAUUAUUAGGUGUUUGAACGAGAGAGAUUGAAUGGGCACUAUGGUAUUUCUGCUUUUCUAAUUGGCAACAUAUUAUCUGCUAUUCCUUACAUGCUAAUGAUCUCUCUCAUUUCCGGAGUAAUAAUUUGUUACCUUUCUGGACUGCACAAAGGACUAGAGCACUAUUUAUACUUUGCUUCUAUCCUAUUUGCCAUUAUGAUGUGGGUUGAGAGUCUUAUGAUGGUUGUGGGGAGUAUCUUCCCAAAUUAUGUGAUGGGUGUGAUCAUUGCUGGUGGAGUUGAAGGACUUGCAAUUUUAACAGGUGGAUUUUAUCGACAUCCUAAUGAUCUUCCAAAGCCAUUAUGGAAGUACCCUUGCUACUACAUUUCCUUUCUCACAUAUGCUAUACAAGGAUCAUUCAAGAAUGAAUUUGAAGGCUUAACAUUUGCUGGGUAUCAAGAUGGAGGUACCACAACUGUUAGUGGUAAAGAUAUACUAACUGGGACAUGGCAUGUGCAAAUGGGUCACUCUAAGUGGGUUGAUCUUGUUAUCAUGUUUGGAAUGAUUGUUGUUUAUCGAGUUCUAUUCUUGGUCAUUAAUAAGGUCAAGGAGAAGUCAAAACCCACUCCUACCAUCAAUGGACCCAGAGCAAAAACUUUUUCUAGAACCAAUAUGGAUGAACCCUAAAUAAUGUUCCACAUAGAUCAUAUGGGAUAUAUAUGACAAUAUUAUGAAAAAUGCAUCUUAAAAUAUUAUACCUGUACUUUGGGUGUGGGUUGUUUAGCUCAAGUAAUAAAGAGUGCUAUGUUAAAUUUGUAAUGACUCAAAGCAACAAUUUCCAAAAUUCUACAAUAAUGAAGGAAAAAUUCAGUUCAAUAUUUGUUGGAAGUAUCUAUAUAAAGAGAUAAUAAUGUAUAUUGAGAGAUUAACAUGUUUCAUUAUCAUCGUGACAUGUAUCAGACAUAAGAAAACUUUUGCCAACCUGCCAAUUACUAUACGCACAGCUGCCCAAGCUGGAUCCACAUUUCCCCGCAGGAAUAGGGUCUUCCCAAUUCAUCGGAGGCCUUCCAUGCCCUCAGCCUCUAGUUCCCCAAUUCAUCGGAGGCCUUCCAUUAAAGCACAUACAUUAAUCAAUUGAGAUUGUAGUGAAAGCUAAAUAUAAUUUUUCAAAGUAAUAAAUCUAUUCAUAAAAUAUGAGAAUCAAUUCAUAUAGAAGGAAUAACCCUGGAACUAGAGCCAAUUAGCGUUUACUUGAAUCAAUUCACAAAGUGAUCCACAGCAGGUGAAUUGAUUCAAAGUGUUCAUCAAUUCACAAAUCAUAAAGCUUAAAUUCUCAAGUUAUGCAUAAUUUCCUGGCAACUACAUACACCAAAAUAUUCCAUGCUAUUGACUUAAAAAUAGUAUACCUAAAUGGUUUGACAUCAAACACAGGAGAUUCAUGAAAAAUUAUCUCUAAUCAUCAUAACUUAGGGUUCAUAGAAAACAAUAUCACAUAUUCAAAUGUCAACAGGUUAAUAGAAAUUGACACAAUAACUAGUUCAAAAUUCGAGUUUAUCAUUCACCAAUAGUAUUGAUGGAGCACAAAAAGUAGAGAAGAACUCACAUGUAUGCAAAAAAGUGAGAAAAGCUUCACGAUGCAAUGGUGGAAAUGGAAUCAUAAGCUAUUUUUUGCGCGCAUGCAAUGCAACAGAGGAGAGAAUGAGUGGGUUAAUAUAAAAAUCUCUA